AUUGAACUUAAGAGUUUGAUCCUGGCUCAGAUUGAACGCUGGCGGCAUGCUUUACACAUGCAAGUCGAACGGCAGCACGGGUGCUUGCACUUGGUGGCGAGUGGCGAACGGGUGAGUAAUACAUCGGAACGUGUCCUGAAGUGGGGGAUAACGCAUCGAAAGAUGUGCUAAUACCGCAUAAUCUCUGAGGAGGAAAGUAGGGGAUCGAAAGACCUUAUGCUUUUGGAGCGGCCGAUGUCUGAUUAGCUAGUUGGUGGGGUAAUGG
rnacentral:rRNA from 1 species